rnacentral:rRNA from 1 species
GUUUGAUCCUGGCUCAGGAUGAACGCUGGCGGCGUGCCUAAUACAUGCAAGUCGAACGCUGGAGAUCUAGCUUGCUAGAUCGAAGGAGUGGCGAACGGGUGAGUAAUACAUAAGCAACCUACCCACGAAGACUGGGAUAAUCUCUGGAAACGGGGACUAAUACCGGAUAGGUAAUCGGAAGGCAUCUUCUGGUUAUUAAAGGUUAAAAACACUGGUGGAUGGGCUUAUGGCGCAUUAGUUAGUUGGUGAGGUAACGGCCCACCAAGACGAUGAUGCGUAGCCGGCCUGAGAGGGUGAACGGCCACAUUGGGACUGAGACACGGCCCAGACUCCUACGGGAGGCAGCAGUAGGGAAUUUUCGGCAAUGGGGGAAACCCUGACCGAGCAACGCCGCGUGAGUGAUGACGGCCUUCGGGUUGUAAAGCUCUGUUGUAAGGGAAGAACGGUAGAUAGAGAAUAUCUAAGUGACGGUACCUUACCAGAAAGCCACGGCUAACUACGUGCCAGCAGCCGCGGUAAUACGUAGGUGGCGAGCGUUAUCCGGAAUUAUUGGGCGUAAAGGGUGCGUAGGCGGCCUGUUAAGUAAGUGGUUAAAUUGUUGGGCUCAACCCAAUCCAGCCACUUAAACUGGCAGGCUAGAGUAUUGGAGAGGCAAGUGGAAUUCCAUGUGUAGCGGUAAAAUGCGUAGAUAUAUGGAGGAACACCAGUGGCGAAGGCGGCUUGCUAGCCAAAGACUGACGCUCAUGCACGAAAGCGUGGGGAGCAAAUAGGAUUAGAUACCCUAGUAGUCCACGCCGUAAACGAUGAAUACUAAGUAUUGGGGAAACUCAGUGCUGCAGCUAACGCAAUAAGUAUUCCGCCUGUGGAGUAUGCACGCAAGUGUGAAACAUAAAGGAAUUGACGGGGGCCCGCACAAGCGGUGGAGUAUGUGGUUUAAUUCGACGCAACGCGAAGAACCUUACCAGGCCUUGACAUCCCUUGCAAAGCUGUAGAGAUACAGUAGAGGUCAUCAAGGAGACAGGUGGUGCAUGGUUGUCGUCAGCUCGUGUCGUGAGAUGUUGGGUUAAGUCCC